rnacentral:tRNA from 1 species
GGGCCUAUGGAUUAGUGGAAGAUCGUUUCCUUGGCAUGGAAAAGGCCGCGGGUUCAAUUCCCGCUAGGUCCA